UACGUAGGGUGCGAGCGUUGUCCGGAAUUAUUGGGCGUAAAGAGCUCGUAGGCGGUCUGUCGCGUCGAAUGUGAAAACCCGGGGCUCAACUCCGGGCUUGCAUUCGAUACGGGCAGGCUAGAGUUCGGUAGGGGAGUCUGGAAUUCCUGGUGUAGCGGUGAAAUGCGUAGAUAUCUGGAGGAACACCGGUGGCGAAGGCGGCAUCCUGGACCAAUUCUGACGCUGAGGAGCGAAAGCCAGGGGAGCAAACGGG
rnacentral:rRNA from 1 species